AUAAGGAAGGUCCAGGCGUUAUCCGGAUUUAUUGGGUUUAAAGGGAGCGCAGGCCGGUGUGUAAGCGUGACGUCAAAUACAGCCGCUCAACGGUUGCCCGCGUCGCGAACUGCACGCCUUGAGUACGCUGCAAGUGGGCGGCAUUCGGGGUGUAGCGGUGAAAUGCUUAGAUAUCACGAAGACCUCCGAUUGCGAAGGCAGCCCGCUGUGUCGUCACUGACGCUGAGGCUCGAAGGUGCGGGUAUCGAACAGGAUUAGAUGCCCUGGUAGUCCGCACUGUAAACGAUGGACACCCGCUGUGUGGCCCUUGUGGUUGCGCGGCCAAGCGAAAGCAUUAAGUGUCCCACCUGGGGAGUACGCCGGCAACGGUGAAACUCAAAGGAAUUGACGGGG
rnacentral:rRNA from 1 species